GUUCAUGUAGAUUAAAAAAAUUGUGAGGCUGUUAACUUCAAGAUGAGUUCAUCUCUGUGGACG
rnacentral:tRNA from 1 species